rnacentral:snRNA from 1 species
AUCCAUGCGCAGUGGCAGUAUCGUAGCCUGUGAGGUUUAACCGAGGCACGAUUAUUGCUAAUUGAAAACUUUACCCAAUACCCUGCCUUGAUGACUUGAAAUAUAGUCAGCAAUGGCAAUUUUUGACAGUCUCUUAGGAGA